ACUAUCAUUAACUGAAUCCAUAGGUUAAUGAGGCGAACCGGGGGAACUGAAACAUCUAAGUACCCCGAGGAAAAGAAAUCAACCGAGAUUCCCCCAGUAGCGGCGAGCGAACGGGGAGGAGCCCAGAGCCUGAAUCAGUGUGUGUGUUAGUGGAAGCGUCUGGAAAGGCGCGCGAUACAGGGUGACAGCCCCGUACACAAAAAUGCACAUGCUGUGAGCUCGAUGAGUAGGGCGGGACACGUGGUAUCCUGUCUGAAUAUGGGGGGACCAUCCUCCAAGGCUAAAUACUCCUGACUGACCGAUAGUGAACCAGUACCGUGAGGGAAAGGCGAAAAGAACCCCGGCGAGGGGAGUGAAAAAGAACCUGAAACCGUGUACGUACAAGCAGUGGGAGCACGCUUAGGCGUGUGACUGCGUACCUUUUGUAUAAUGGGUCAGCGACUUAUAUUCUGUAGCAAGGUUAACCGAAUAGGGGAGCCGAAGGGAAACCGAGUCUUAACUGGGCGUUAAGUUGCAGGGUAUAGACCCGAAACCCGGUGAUCUAGCCAUGGGCAGGUUGAAGGUUGGGUAACACUAACUGGAGGACCGAACCGACUAAUGUUGAAAAAUUAGCGGAUGACUUGUGGCUGGGGGUGAAAGGCCAAUCAAACCGGGAGAUAGCUGGUUCUCCCCGAAAGCUAUUUAGGUAGCGCCUCGUGAAUUCAUCUCCGGGGGUAGAGCACUGUUUCGGCAAGGGGGUCAUCCCGACUUACCAACCCGAUGCAAACUGCGAAUACCGGAGAAUGUUAUCACGGGAGACACACGGCGGGUGCUAACGUCCGUCGUGAAGAGGGAAACAACCCAGACCGCCAGCUAAGGUCCCAAAGUCAUGGUUAAGUGGGAAACGAUGUGGGAAGGCCCAGACAGCCAGGAUGUUGGCUUAGAAGCAGCCAUCAUUUAAAGAAAGCGUAAUAGCUCACUGGUCGAGUCGGCCUGCGCGGAAGAUGUAACGGGGCUAAACCAUGCACCGAAGCUGCGGCAGCGACGCUUAUGCGUUGUUGGGUAGGGGAGCGUUCUGUAAGCCUGUGAAGGUGUACUGUGAGGUAUGCUGGAGGUAUCAGAAGUGCGAAUGCUGACAUAAGUAACGAUAAAGCGGGUGAAAAGCCCGCUCGCCGGAAGACCAAGGGUUCCUGUCCAACGUUAAUCGGGGCAGGGUGAGUCGACCCCUAAGGCGAGGCCGAAAGGCGUAGUCGAUGGGAAACAGGUUAAUAUUCCUGUACUUGGUGUUACUGCGAAGGGGGGACGGAGAAGGCUAUGUUGGCCGGGCGACGGUUGUCCCGGUUUAAGCGUGUAGGCUGGUUUUCCAGGCAAAUCCGGAAAAUCAAGGCUGAGGCGUGAUGACGAGGCACUACGGUGCUGAAGCAACAAAUGCCCUGCUUCCAGGAAAAGCCUCUAAGCAUCAGGUAACAUCAAAUCGUACCCCAAACCGACACAGGUGGUCAGGUAGAGAAUACCAAGGCGCUUGAGAGAACUCGGGUGAAGGAACUAGGCAAAAUGGUGCCGUAACUUCGGGAGAAGGCACGCUGAUAUGUAGGUGAAGCGACUUGCUCGUGGAGCUGAAAUCAGUCGAAGAUACCAGCUGGCUGCAACUGUUUAUUAAAAACACAGCACUGUGCAAACACGAAAGUGGACGUAUACGGUGUGACGCCUGCCCGGUGCCGGAAGGUUAAUUGAUGGGGUUAGCGCAAGCGAAGCUCUUGAUCGAAGCCCCGGUAAACGGCGGCCGUAACUAUAACGGUCCUAAGGUAGCGAAAUUCCUUGUCGGGUAAGUUCCGACCUGCACGAAUGGCGUAAUGAUGGCCAGGCUGUCUCCACCCGAGACUCAGUGAAAUUGAACUCGCUGUGAAGAUGCAGUGUACCCGCGGCAAGACGGAAAGACCCCGUGAACCUUUACUAUAGCUUGACACUGAACAUUGAGCCUUGAUGUGUAGGAUAGGUGGGAGGCUUUGAAGUGUGGACGCCAGUCUGCAUGGAGCCGACCUUGAAAUACCACCCUUUAAUGUUUGAUGUUCUAACGUGGACCCGUAAUCCGGGUUGCGGACAGUGUCUGGUGGGUAGUUUGACUGGGGCGGUCUCCUCCUAAAGAGUAACGGAGGAGCACGAAGGUUGGCUAAUCCUGGUCGGACAUCAGGAGGUUAGUGCAAUGGCAUAAGCCAGCUUGACUGCGAGCGUGACGGCGCGAGCAGGUGCGAAAGCAGGUCAUAGUGAUCCGGUGGUUCUGAAUGGAAGGGCCAUCGCUCAACGGAUAAAAGGUACUCCGGGGAUAACAGGCUGAUACCGCCCAAGAGUUCAUAUCGACGGCGGUGUUUGGCACCUCGAUGUCGGCUCAUCACAUCCUGGGGCUGAAGUAGGUCCCAAGGGUAUGGCUGUUCGCCAUUUAAAGUGGUACGCGAGCUGGGUUUAGAACGUCGUGAGACAGUUCGGUCCCUAUCUGCCGUGGGCGCUGGAGAAUUGAGGGGGGCUGCUCCUAGUACGAGAGGACCGGAGUGGACGCAUCACUGGUGUUCGGGUUGUCAUGCCAAUGGCACUGCCCGGUAGCUAAAUGCGGAAGAGAUAAGUGCUGAAAGCAUCUAAGCACGAAACUUGCCCCGAGAUGAGUUCUCCCUGACUCCUUGA
rnacentral:rRNA from 1 species